rnacentral:rRNA from 1 species
CUCCUACGGGAGGCAGCAGUAAGGAAUAUUGGUCAAUGGACGCAAGUCUGAACCAGCCAUGCCGCGUGGAGGAUGAAGGUCCUCUGGAUUGUAAACUUCUUUUAUUUGGGAAGAAACCACCGAUUUCUAUUGGUGUUGACGGUACCAGAUGAAUAAGCACCGGCUAACUCCGUGCCAGCAGCCGCGGUAAUACGGAGGGUGCAAGCGUUAUCCGGAUUCACUGGGUUUAAAGGGUGCGUAGGCGGGUUGGUAAGUCCGUGGUGAAAUCUCCAAGCUUAACUUGGAAACUGCCGUGGAUACUAUCAAUCUUGAAUAUAGUGGAGGUGAGCGGAAUAUGUCAUGUAGCGGUGAAAUGCUUAGAUAUGACAUAGAACACCCAUUGCGAAGGCAGCUCGCUACACUAUUAUUGACGCUGAGGCACGAAAGCGUGGGGAUCAAACAGGAUUAGAUACCCUGGUAGUCCACGCCCUAAACGAUGAUUACUCGACAUCAGCGAUACACUGUUGGUGUCUGAGCGAAAGCAUUAAGUA